rnacentral:rRNA from 1 species
UACGAAGGGUGCAAGCGUUACUCGGAAUUACUGGGCGUAAAGCGUGCGCAGGCGGUCUUUUAAGUCAGAUGUGAAAUCCCCGGGCUUAACCUGGGAACUGCGUUUGAAACUGGAAGGCUAGAGUGUGGCAGAGGGGGGUGGAAUUCCACGUGUAGCAGUGAAAUGCGUAGAUAUGUGGAGGAACACCGAUGGCGAAGGCAGCCCCCUGGGCUAACACUGACGCUCAUGCACGAAAGCGUGGGGAGCAAACAGG